rnacentral:rRNA from 1 species
AGAGUUUGAUCCUGGCUCAGAACGAACGUUAGCGGCGCGCCUAACACAUGCAAGUCGCACGAGAAAGGGCUUCGGCCCCGGUACAGUGGCGCACGGGUGAGUAACACGUGGGUAAUGUUCCCUAGGGCGGGGGAUAACCUUCCGAAAGGAGGGCUAAUACCGCAUAUGACCACGACCCUGAGAGGGGUUGAGGUAAAAGC